rnacentral:tRNA from 1 species
GCCACCGUAGCUCAGUUGGUAGAGCACGCGAUUCGUAAUCGUGAGGUCAGGAGUUCGAAUCUCCUCGGUGGCU